AGCGAACGCUGGCGGCAGGCUUAACACAUGCAAGUCGAGCGGGCCCUUCGGGGUCAGCGGCAGACGGGUGAGUAACACGUGGGAACGUACCCUUUGGUUCGGAAUAACGCUGGGAAACUAGCGCUAAUACCGGAUACGCCCUUUUGGGGAAAGGCUUGCUGCCGAAGGAUCGGCCCGCGUCUGAUUAGCUAGUUGGUGGGGUAAUGGCCUACCAAGGCGACGAUCAGUAGCUGGUCUGAGAGGAUGAUCAGCCACACUGGGACUGAGACACGGCCCAGACUCCUACGGGAGGCAGCAGUGGGGAAUAUUGGACAAUGGGCGCAAGGCUGAUCCAGCCAUGCCGCGUGAGUGAUGAAGGCCUUAGGGUUGUAAAGCUCUUUUGUCCGGGACGAUAAUGACGGUACCGGAAGAAUAAGCCCCGGCUAACUUC
rnacentral:rRNA from 1 species